GAUGAAGAACGUAGCGAAAUGCGAUACUUGGUGUGAAUUGCAGAAUCCCGUGAACCAUCGAGUCUUUGAACGCAAGUUGCGCCCGAAGCCAUUAGGCCGAGGGCACGCCUGCCUGGGCGUCACACGUCGUUGCCCCCCCAUCUACUCCUUCGGGAUUGCGGGGGGCGGAUGAUGGCCUCUCGUGCGCCUCGUCGCGCGGUUGGCCUAAAUGCCAAGUCCUCGGCGACGCACGCCACGACAAUCGGUGGCUGCGAAACCUCGGUUGCCUGUCGUGUGCGGUCGUCGCGCAUCGAGGGCUCGAAAAAAUUGCCGGGCUUCGGCUCGACUUUCAACGCGACCCCAGGUCAGGCGGGGUUACCCGCUGAAUUUAAGCAUAUCAAUAAGCGGAGGA
rnacentral:misc_RNA from 1 species